UACGGUGGAAGUGUGUGUUAAGCA
rnacentral:siRNA from 1 species